rnacentral:lncRNA from 1 species
GCCAUGUGGGAUUAGUAAGAUAUUUUACACACCCAAAAAAGUUGUAACCAUGUUGUUGGAACAAGAAACAUGUUCUAACUAGUCUAGCAUCCGUUGGAGGAUAAUUGAAGAGGAUAAGUAUAUUCUUGUAAUGUACUCCACAGAGAAAACAUGAGUCAAAGCCAAAGACGAAGGAAUAUUGGUUAGCUGGGGCUUAAAAAUGGAAAUAUAGCUAUUGCAUGCAGACACGAAGAAGAUAUAUAUGUACCUAUUGGAUAUCAAGAUAUGAAGAUCUUACUGUGGUUUAUUUUUUUUAAGAGUAACAAGUCAUGAAGAUUUAAUUCCCUGUUACAUUUUUUUUCUUGAUUAGGUUAGUGAAAGGGAAACCCACCACACAAGGGGUUGUAGGGAAUCUAAAUAUGGUUGAAUGAGG